rnacentral:misc_RNA from 1 species
UUUGAAUAUUUAUUCAUUUCAUGCACUUUGCAAAUUUUUCAAAAAAAAAAUUUGCACAGCACAAAGCCAUUACCGUUACGUUAUGACUGUUGCAAGCCUAUUUCCGUCACCCACAAUUGCGAUUUGAAACCAUGCUCUGAGGCACUAAGGCAACACAUCUAUGAAGAAACAGUAAUUUUUUUUUCUUUCCCUUUUAAUUUUUUUUUAACCCAAAUAAGAUUAAACCCUACCA